AAUACGUCUCCUAUUUUACGUCUCCUAUUUUUAUUUUAUUUUUUAAAGAAUCUCUCCUAUGCGAUUUGGGGCAAGGAAAGGCUAGGGUUUUUCACACAUCCAAUCGAUUUUUAUGAGAUUAAUUCAUCUGUAAUUCAAGGUGAAGUUAUGUGUGGUGGUGAUUUAGUUGAGCGGUGGCUGAGUUGCGUGUGUAUGUAUUGUAUACUGUAGUUUGGGUGUCGAUGGUGUGUGCGCGUUUUGAUUGGUGUUUGUAUACGGAGUUGGAGCUGUGGGGUUGAUUGGGAAUUGGAGGCGGCGUUCGAACUAUAUAUGGCGUUUUAGGCAUUAAAAUUUGGAUAUUCGCGGCGGUUGCUGCCGCUGCACGUAAAGGGAAGGGGACAGCGAAUACAGAUGGGGAAAAUUGUAUAUAGAGGUCUUGGUAUUGCCACUGCUAUUUGGGUGUUUUUUGAAAUGAUGGGAUACCAUUAGCUCACAUUAGUAUGUCAUGUCAUAAUACCAACUUUGGUCUCCACCUAAAUGUUGCAGAUACAAGUUGGAAAAUGGCCAGUCGAUGCCGUCUCUCUAUAUGGUUUUAUCUUUCGAAAAUCCUGGAUCAGCACCAUCUCUUUGAUUCUUGGCACGUUAUUCGCCCCCAUCACUGUGGAAUAUAUUGACAGGGGACCUGGAGUUGGUUGAUUCUCUAAAUGGACAUUAUGAUACAGUCUAUGACACUGAAACUAGAAGUACAUUGUGGUCAUCUGUGGAGAUCCAUCACUAAUACUAUACUAAUGUACUGAUGUUUACUAAAACACACAGGAGAUAGAGUUUCUGCAACAAGCGAAGAUUAUUUGUGGGUGCAAUACGGAAAUUUUAUGGAACGGACAACUAGUUCCUUCGGAGUGAUUUCAAUUUUUUCAUCACUGAUCAAAUCAUAACUUAUAAAUCUAAUAGCUCCAUCAUUCCAUGGACAAGAAAGGCUGUAAGCGCAUAUCUUUGGGACCUAAUUCUCCUUCGACGCGUGAUGGUGAACAUACCUUCAUGGUAAUCUGUAUGUUGUUCUAAACUUCAGAUUCCUCCUAUAAGGUGUUUGUAUGUAAAUUUUUUUCAAUUAAAUACAUGUUUCAAGAAAACGGCUACUUCUACUACUGUGCCCAUUAUUUCGUUAGAUCCUCUAUCUGGCGAAUCACAGGAUUCAGGUUAUAUUAUAUUCACUGAAGAUAUUGGUCUGUGUUUCAUAGGUAUAUGAAGCAAGAAGUUUAUUGUUUCUUACAAGUAGAAUGAAUAGUUUAGACGUUAACUAUGCAAUUCAGAGAGCCCCGUCCAUCUGCAGGAGACCGGCUUUCUUUCUUUUCUUUUUUUUGCAGGCUAGGGAGAUUAGUUUCGGCCAAUGUGUUGAGAACACUUCAUCAGAAAUUUAUUCAGUCAACUAAUUAGCCAUGUAUAAGCACAACAGUAUCACUCAAAACUAAUGCAACUCAAUAUUUAAAUUAUAAUUAAUAAAGAUUUAUGUUUAGUUGAGUCAUUUGUAUGCCUGGUGUAGUAUCUUUUUAUAGUGUAUUAUUUGUUGACACCAAAUGAGUGUGUUGAUUGUUUGACCUCACUGGAACUGAUAGACUUAAUUUACCUUUACAGUAUUUUGGAUUUUGGUGUAACAUCUACUUUUCCAGUUAAUGUGGUUGAGUCUAAGGUGUGGACACAUAAUGGCCUAAUGGCAUCUCUCAUUUAUGUUGAGGAUUGCGAGUCAGGGUACCUAAAUUGAGGAUAAGCAGAAGAUGGAUAGAAGCUAUUUGUUACAAAAGCUUAUGAGAUGCUUCGUGAUCCUGGUCCUUACUGCGCAAUUGAAUUAUCAAAGAUUUGGAAGUAAGGUUUACUUUUGUCCUCUAUGACAAAAGUUUUACUACAGAGUUAGCAAAGCUGGCUAAAUUAACCUUACACUGGGCUCACUUAGUAGCUGAUGAAACUAUUCUGGGAUACUGUUGUUAAUCAAUGUGAUAUCUAAUGAAUCUCAGAAGUGAUAAAACAGGAUGCCAAGCAUAAGAUCAGAGUAACCAACGAUGAUAUUGAAAUCUGCUGUUUUGCACCAUCUCAGAAGGUCCCUUUUUGCUAUGACUUUUCUUUAGUUUCCACAACAUAUUUUUUCAUAGUCCAUGGCCACAUAUAUCUUUGCUCCGAAUAAUGGCAAAGGAAUUCCCUGCAGCUUCCACAUCUUAAUGUAAUGAUGUCUAAUGUUAUUUGUUUUCAAGGACAUGUCUGAAGACUUUAUUGUAUGUUUGAGAGCAAAGGCAGAGCCAGAGGUGCUAUCAACAACUGUAAGGGAGUUUGGAGUACAUAAAACUUCUUUCGCUAUUGGAGACUCUGGAUACCUUCUCCCAGCACUGUCUUCAGCUAGCAAUAUGGAAUUUUUUAUUCAGAGCAACAUAUUUACGGUUAUGCUGGCUACCUGAUAUUCAUUCUUUGCUAAAAAUAAAAAAAUGUGGCUAUAUUUGUGUCUCAAAGAUCAGUAACUCUGAGCAGAAGACUUCAACUUCACUGUCUGAUAUUGAUACAAAUUCAUUCAUUAUCUUGCCCAGAAUGAUGCAACAACUUAGAAUGACUUCAUUUCUACUCCGUUUAGCACAUAUUUAGAAUUUGGCAUAAUAUUAUAAAAUUAAAUUUGAUCGAGGAGCAGUUCAUGGAAGUGCGUGCUAAAGAUCAACAACACCCUAAUAAAAAGUUUCGGAUGAGGAGGCUCACAAGGAUGAAUGACAGGGAGGGAAGCUUUUCAUUGCAUGCACACACAGAAUAGAUUUAAGCUCUUAAGUUUUAAGUGUCUGAACACUUCAUGUCAGUCUAAAUUAUCUUUACCCGAGUUAUGUUGUCCAGAUUUUGAUUGCUUUCCCAGGAUUCAUGUAUUCUGCUGUCAUCUUCUUGCUUAAACCAUCAAAUAUCACAUUAUUAUGUGUCUAA